ensembl:snoRNA
GUGCAUGAUGAUGGAAAAAUUUCUUCACUUUGACCUGACUUGACUGUUUGAAGAAAUUUUAAAUAUCUGACA